AGAGUUUGAUCAUGGCUCAGGACGAACGCUCGGACGGCGCGCCUAACACAUGCAAGUCGAACGGAGUCAAGAGGAGCUUGCUUUUCUUGACUUAGUGGCGAACGGGUGAGUAACGCGUGAGUAACCUGCCCUGGAGUGGGGGACAACAGUUGGAAACGACUGCUAAUACCGCAUAAGCCCACGGAUUCGCAUGGAUCUGCGGGAAAAGGAUUUAUUCGCUUCAGGAUGGACUCGCGUCCAAUUAGCUAGUUGGUGAGGUAACGGCCCACCAAGGCGACGAUUGGUAGCCGGACUGAGAGGUUGAACGGCCACAUUGGGACUGAGACACGGCCCAGACUCCUACGGGAGGCAGCA
rnacentral:rRNA from 1 species